UGCUAAUUCUGGUUUACAACAGACUC
rnacentral:piRNA from 1 species